GGCUGUCGUCAGCUCGUGUCGUGAGAUGUUCGGUUAAGUCCGCUAACGAGCGCAACCUCGUCGUAUGUUAUAUGUGUCAUACGAGACUGCCGGUAAAAAAGCCGGAGGAAGGUGAGGAUGAUGUCAAGUCAGCAUGACCUUUAUAUCCAGGGCUACACACACGCUACAAUGGUCUGUACAAUGGGUAGCCAAGCCGCGAGGCGGAGCCAAUCCUGAAAGCAGGCCUCAGUUCAGAUUGCAGUCUGCAACUCGACUGCAUGAAGCCGGAGUUGCUAGUAACCGCAGGUCAGCAAUACUGCGGUGAAUACGUUCCCGGGUCUU
rnacentral:rRNA from 1 species